UGGAUCCAGACUUUGAUCAUGGCUCAGGAUGAACGCUAGCUACAGGCUUAACACAUGCAAGUCGAGGGGAAACGAUAUUGGAAGCUUGCUUCCGAUAGGCGUCGACCGGCGCACGGGUGAGUAACGCGUAUCCAACCUGCCCAUCACUUGGGGAUAACCUUGCGAAAGUAAGACUAAUACCCAAUGACGUCUCUAGAAGACAUCUGAAAGAGAUUAAAGAUUUAUCGGUGAUGGAUGGGGAUGCGUCUGAUUAGCUUGUUGGCGGGGUAACGGCCCACCAAGGCAACGAUCAGUAGGGGUUCUGAGAGGAAGGUCCCCCACAUUGGAACUGAGACACGGUCCAAACUCCUACGGGAGGCAGCAGUGAGGAAUAUUGGUCAAUGGGCGAGAGCCUGAACCAGCCAAGUAGCGUGCAGGAUGACGGCCCUAUGGGUUGUAAACUGCUUUUAUAAGGGAAUAAAGUGAGUCUCGUGAGACUUUUUGCAUGUACCUUAUGAAUAAGGACCGGCUAAUUCCGUGCCAGCAGCCGCGGUAAUACGGAAGGUCCGGGCGUUAUCCGGAUUUAUUGGGUUUAAAGGGAGCGUAGGCCGGAGAUUAAGCGUGUUGUGAAAUGUAGACGCUCAACGUCUGCACUGCAGCGCGAACUGGUUUCCUUGAGCACGCACAAAGUGGGCGGAAUUCGUGGUGUAGCGGUGAAAUGCUUAGAUAUCACGAAGAACUCCGAUUGCGAAGGCAGCUCACUGGAGCGCAACUGACGCUGAAGCUCGAAAGUGCGGGUAUCGAACAGGAUUAGAUACCCUGGUAGUCCGCACGGUAAACGAUGGAUGCCCGCUGUUGGUCUGAAUAGGUCAGCGGCCAAGCGAAAGCAUUAAGCAUCCCACCUGGGGAGUACGCCGGCAACGGUGCAACUCAAAUGAAUUGACGGA
rnacentral:rRNA from 1 species